CUGGAAUCAGCACGAGUGCCUUAUGCAGGAUCCUCAUCACCUUGCUGGGCUUUGCCUCCACUGUGUUGCAUCUUUGUUCUCAGAAUUUCUGCAUCGGACCUCACCCCAUCAGAGGAGAAGGGGCUGUCCCUCAGGCAGGAGGGGUCACCAGUGAUGGUGUUUGUUGUGUGUAAACAGCACAAGAUUGGCAGCAGUAACACAGGAGGAUUCUGAGGGCUGGUUUCACAAAGCCAGCACCAACCAGCAGCCAAAUC
rnacentral:lncRNA from 1 species